GACGAACGCUGGCGGCGUGCUUAACACAUGCAAGUCGAACGAAGUGGCGAACGGGUGAGUAACGCGUAAUCAACCUGCCCUUCAGAGGGGGACAACAGGUGGAAACGACUGCUAAUACCGCAUACUGAAGGAGGGGAUGGCGUCUGAUUCGCUAGUUGGAGGGUUAACGGCCCACCAAGGCGAUGAUAAGUAGCAGGUCGUAGUGGAUGAACGGCCACAGUGGGACUGAUACACGGCCCAGACUCCUCCGGGAGGCAGCAUGGGGGAAUCUUCCGCAAUGGACGAAAGUCUGACGGAGCAACGCCGCGUGAGUGAUGACGGCCUUCGGGUUGUAAAGCUCUGUUAAUCGGGACGCGGUACCGGAAUAGAAAGCCACGGCUAACUACGUGCCAGCAGCCGCGGUAAUUC
rnacentral:rRNA from 1 species